UGCGCGGAAGCGCGAUGCAAUUAGGCAGUGCUCCAGAUCAAGUGGUCGCUCGGCUGCCAGCGUCAGGAUCCAGGAGAAGCCUACCUGGGGAGAUCGUGUCAAAGGGACGACGAAGAAGGAGCUACAGAGACCCACGGAGGAAUCCCUCAGCGGCGUCCCAGCGGCGGAUGAAAGAGAGCGAUAGCCAAGAAAGCGUGACGUGGAAGCGGUGGAGGACGGCAUCGGAAAAACAUGAGAAAGCGUGGUGAUGCGCACUACGGGCUCAUCGGUGACGACCGCUACGAGAUGGCGCCAGAGUUCCCCACCGUCGUCCGUUCAGCGUUGACGCCAGUGAUAAGAGUCUUAUUCGAUGACCGAGUAGAGUGGCACGCCGACAUGGGUGGUAUCGCUCAUUUGAGUGAUAAGCUUCCGCGAUGACGACGAGGGACCCGGUACGAAGUGUGGAGAAGUGUCCACUUUCAUCACUGCCAGGGCGGGCCCCAUGUGCCCUUUCUCUCCAGAACUGCAGCAGAU